GGUCCUACAGCUCUGGUGACAGUGCAUGGCCGUGGCCCCGGCUCCUUGCCACCAACAGGCGUCAGCAGGCCUCAUCUCCUGCUGGCUUUCCUGCACCAUCCUCAGACCAGAGCUUCCCGAGCAGCACAGGUGAUGGGCCCUGCCCGGGGACGUUCCUCCACCCUCCUCCCCUGAGUGCCGAGUGCCGAGUGCCGGGAUGGAGCUCCCCUGUGCAGCUGUCUUCCCAGCCUCUCUGAACCAGUCCAGUUAGGGCCAGUCUGGCUCGGUGAUGGGUCCUCCUAGACGGGGCUGAAUAAAUGGGCAGGAAGCGCUGCAUAAUUGGCUUUUGCUCCUCAAAGCCAAUGGUUAUCAAAAAGAACACUUCAUUCUGCUUCUUUCACUGCAUUUAACGAAAAUGUCUUCUGGGGCUUGAGAGGAAGAUUAACUCUUUGACUCCCAGAUGUUUGGGGGGCCACCCAUACUUCUCAGCCUUCCUAGACCAGUUGUGCGUUUACAAAGUGCUUUCAUGCAGAUCGCUCGAUUCAGUCCCGGCAUGACAGACCAUGCGUGUGGCAUUGCAGGCCCCUCUGAAGCCAGCAGCCGCGGAGCCAUCCAUUUUCAAGUCAUAGAAAACUCAACUGCAGAGGCAUAGAAACAAAGGGAGCCGCCUGGC
rnacentral:lncRNA from 1 species